rnacentral:rRNA from 1 species
AGUGAACGCUGGCGGUAGGCCUAACACAUGCAAGUCGAACGGCAGCACAGUAAGAGCUUGCUCUUACGGGUGGCGAGUGGCGGACGGGUGAGGAAUACAUCGGAAUCUACUUUUUCGUGGGGGAUAACGUAGGGAAACUUACGCUAAUACCGCAUACGACCUACGGGUGAAAUCAGGAGAUCUUCGGACCUUGCGCGAUUGAAUUAGCCGAUGCCGGAUUAGCUAGUUGGCGAGGUAAAGGCCCACCAAGGCGACGAUCCGUAGCUGGUCUGAGAGGAUGAUCAGCCACACUGGAACUGAGACACGGUCCAGACUCCUACGGGAGGCAGCAGUAGGGAAUAUUCGACAAUGGGCGAAAGCCUGACGCAGCAACACCGCGUGAGUGAAGAAGGCCUUCGGGUUGUAAAGCCCUUUUGUUGGGAAAGAAAAGCAGCAGAUUAAUCCCCCGCUGUUCUGACGGUACCCAAAGAAUAAGCACCGGCUAACUUCGUG